rnacentral:misc_RNA from 1 species
GAAGUCAUAAUCCUCGAUUAACAGAUCUGCAGCGGAGUAAAUCAAAUAAACGAUCGAUAACCCGCCGGAUAAAACAAAUCCAGAAUGAUAGCUUUUAAAUUUCCGGAAAAAAAAAUCCGAAUUACAGAAAGAAAUUCGAAUUCUGCACAGAAACUGGAGGUGGAAGACGAAGGUAAUGGGCUUGAGCUUCAAAGUUUUGAGCUUCGAGGUCAAAAACCCUAAUUGGACCUAAAAGCUA